GCUGCAUUCACAAACAACCCCGACUCCAAGGUCUAAACCCAGAGAGGCUCUGGUCCUGCCGGAAUUUUUCCAAAAACCCGGGCCUUUCAACCCUCUGUGGGCCAUGUCUGUACUACCGUACUCAUUGCUGGACUUGGGGUGGAGCAGAACCUCUGCGGAACGACCUAAACACCGCAUUGCCUAGUAACCAAACGGCCACAGGCUUCGGUGCUGGGCUUUUCCCUGUUCACUCGCCGUUACUGAGGGAAUCCUUGUUAGUUUCUUUUCCUCCGCUUAGUGAUAUGCUUAAGUUCAGCGGGUAAUC
rnacentral:rRNA from 1 species